GUUCUGAAAGCAUCCUGUAGGCGGGUAGGAAGUAGGAUGCAGGGGAGGAUGAACAAGCUUAACUGAUGCAUAGCGAUCGUCCCUGUAGCUAUCUUGUGAAUGAAUUACACUUUGCCCUCCUCUCACCUUCCUUUUCAAGGGCAGUUUUUGACCAAGAGGCAGACUCAUAAGACUUUUCAAAAUCUUUUCAGUGCUUCAUUUCAGUAGCAGCAGAGGUUUCUUGGACAGUUGUUGCCAUUGCUUGCUUUUCUCAUCCUUUUUUGUAGCUUUAACUUGAUUUCUUUGGAGAACUAUUUCCUGUCAUUUCAAAUGGUUGUGGUGGAAUCAGUUACCAAGGUCCAAACCUCUCUUGGUCAAGAGGUGGGCAUAGGACCUAAGCUCAGUCAAUCAGACUCUUCCUGAAAUUUGGAUAUUUAAUGAAGUGGUACAAGGAGAGGAAAUGGUUGAAUAUGACUUAUUCCAAUCAUGGGGCCCUGAGAAGACUCUCCGUGAUCUAGCUCCCUCUAUUACCAGAAAUAUGUUGGUCCCUGAACAUCCCAAGGUUUGGUUUUUCAGAUUUUCUUUCAGUUCUGUGGGUUGCUUCAUCUAUGUAUUUCCAUAAAAUUAUCUAGGUUAAAAGUGACCAAGGAUUAUUUUUCAUCAGUGGCAAUCAAAUAUCACUAAUUUGUUUUCUUAGAGAUUGUUCAAAAUCUUAAAAAACAAAACAAAGCAAUACAUCUCAAAUCUGGCUUUCAAUAAGGCACCAACAAUUUCUGCCUUCAAAAGAACACUUCUUUCAUAAUGAGCGCAUGUGGAUGUUCCCAUGAAGACACAGUGGAUCAUUGAGUGACAGACUCGGGGAGGUUUUGAACUUGAAAAGCAACAUGUUGUGACUUGGAAAUGUCCUAAUCAGAUGUCUCGUCGAUCUGCUGCCCAGGUGAGGGGAGUGGAGUCGGAAGAGAGCCUCCAGCUGUUGCUUCCUUCAGGAUCAGAAGCUGCAGAGAAGAACCUUAAGCAAGGCCAUGUACUCCCAGGGCAGCCACAUCCUCUGACUGAGGGAGGCAGAGGCACAAAGGCCCAGCUGUUCCUCUCCAAAGGGGAUGCCCGAUGGGCCACACUAGCUCCAUCACUCCUCGCUGAAUUGGCCAAGGCUUUGUUUCCCUUUUUCCUCUGCUCAAUACUGCUUCUUUCCCUCGCAUCCUGCUUUUUCACAUGUGCUGAUCCCUAAUAAACAUCUUGUACUUCAAACUUGGGCUAAUUGUUUGCUGCCAGAGAACGUGAUCUAAGACACUAUUUCUUUCUGUCCAUAUUGCUCUUUGUUCAGAUUAGUUCAGAAUAUAUUUGGAACCAAGGACAGAUCCUCUAUUUAUAUUAAAUGUGAUUUUAAAAAUAUUGAACCACAAAAUAUUGAAUUCCAGUUUGUCAGGAUCAUUUUGGAUAUAAUUUUACCCUCCUAGGCAUUUGCUUCACCCAGAUUUGUGUCAUCUUAACAUACGAUUACCAGCAACUAUUUCCCAAAGUUUUUGGUAAAAUGUUAACCAAGUCGUUUUUGAAGAUGAGUCCUAUUCACUAGUCUGGACUAACACAUGUCAAUUAAUUAGUGUUUACUGGUUAUGAUUAUUCAGUUAAGAAUUGUUUUAUUCUAUUUUGAUAUUGCCAGAGUAACAUUAAAGAGAUUAUUACUCCUAAAUAAUUUUUUAUUGCAAUAUAAAUUAUAUACGGAAAGGUGCACAAAACCUAAGUCUAAGAUUAACGUGUGGGCGCACUCCUGUGCCCGCCAUGUCAAUCAGGAAUUGGAAUAUUACUAGCAGCUCAAAAGCCCUUCAAACCCCUAACAUGAUCCUCUUUCCUAAAAGUAGCUGUGUUCCUAGCUUUAACAUCAUAGGUUAUUUUGAUUUUAUUUUAGUACUUUUAUGUAAAUUGAAUGUUAUGGCUGAUAGUCCUUUGUGUGUCUGAGAUUAUUCAUGGAAUGUUAUGUUUGUGAGAUUGAUAAAUAUUAUUGUGUACAGUAGUACUACAUUGAUUUUUAUUGCUGUAUAGUAUCCCAUUUUGUGAACAGAGCUCAAUUUGUUCAUCCAUUCUAGCAUAGAUGGACAAUUUUCUAGUUUUUGAUUGUUUCAAAAUGUUGCCUUGAAUAUUUUUACAUUUUUGGGGUACCUAUGUUGGGUUCCUGUGGUCUGUAUACAUAAGAAUGCAAUUGACGGGUCCUGGGAUAUAUCCAUAUUUCUCUUUGACAGAUAUCACCAGUUUUCCAAAGAAGUUGUACAAUUUUGUACUUCCACCUACAGCAUAUAAGCAUUCCAGCUGCUCCAUGUCCUCCCCAACACGUUGUAUGUUCAUAAUCUAUUUCACUUGCCUUUCAUUAACAGUUAGUGAAAUAGAGCACAGGGGUAUUGAUCUCUUGGAUUUCCUCUUCUGUGAGGUUCUUCUAAAUAUCCUUUAUGAUUUUUUUAGACUAGACUGUUUUUCCCUAUUGAUCACCAGCAAAUUUUACAUGACUUGGAUACAAGCAGUUGGUUGGUUAUACAUAUGAA
rnacentral:lncRNA from 1 species